rnacentral:rRNA from 1 species
AGAGUUUGAUCAUGGCUCAGGAUGAACGCUGGCGGCGUGCCUAAUACAUGCAAGUCGAGCGGUAAGGCUUUCACUCUGUAUUUAAUGAGUUGAAUAUAGUGUGAAAGUACACGAGCGGCGGACGGCUGAGUAACGCGUAGGAACGUACCCCAAAGUGAGGGAUAAGCACCGGAAACGGUGUCUAAUACCGCAUGUGAUCUUCGGAUUAAAGCUUUAUGCGCUUUGGGAGCGGCCUGCGUAAGAUUAGUUUGUUGGUGAGGUAAAUGGCUCACCAAGACUACGAUCUUUAGCUGGUCUGAGAGGAUGAUCAGCCAGACUGGGACUGAGACACGGCCCAGACUCCUACGGGAGGCAGCAGUAGGGAAUUUCCACAAUGGACGAAAGUCUGAUGGAGCAACGCCGCGUGCAGGAUGAAGGCCUUCGGGUUGUAAACUGCUUUUAUCUGUGACGAUUAUGACGGUAGCAGAUGAAUAAGGAUCGGCUAACUCCGUG